GCGGAUAUGGCGGAAUUGGCAGACGCGCCAGAUUUAGGUUCUGGUGGGGCACCCGUGCAGGUUCAAGUCCUGUUAUCCGCA
rnacentral:tRNA from 3 species